AUGCCAAAAGAAAAGAAGGCCAAGGGGAAGAAGGUGCCUCCAGCCCCUGCUGUUAUGAAGAAGCAGGAGACCAAGAAAGUGGUGAAUUCCCUGUUUGAGAAAAGGUCUAAGAAUUUUGUCCUUGGACAGGACAUGCAGCCCCGAAGAGACCUCACCCGCUUUGUGAAAUGGCCCCAUUGUAUCAGGUUGCAGCGGCAGAGAGCCAUUCUCCAUAAGCGACUGAAAGUGCCUCCUGCGAUUAAUCAGUUCAUCCAGGACCUGGACUGCCAACAGCUACUUAGCUGCUUAAGCUGGCCCACAAGUACAGACCAGAGACGGAGCAAGAGAAGAAGCUGAGGCUGUUGACCUGAGCCGAGAAGAAAGCUGCUGGCAAAGGGGACGUCUCCACUAAGAGACCACCUGUCCUUCGAGCGGGAGUUAACACUGUCACCACCUUGGCGGAGAACAAGAAAGCUCAGCUGGUGGUGAUUGCACACGACAUGUAUCUCAUUCAGCUGGCUGUCUUCUUGUGUGCCUUGUGUCAUACCUUAUUGCAUUAUCAAGGGGAAGGCAAGGCUGGGAUGUCUAGUCCACAGGGAGCCCUGCACCACUGUCGCCUUCACACAGGUUAAGUUGGUUAAGUUGGAAGACAAAGGCACUUUGGCUAAGCUGGUGGAAGCUAUCAGAAACAAUUACAAUGACAGAUACAAUGAGAUCUACCACCACUGGGGAGGCAAUGUUCUGGGUCCCAAGUCUGUGGCUCGCAUCGCCAAGCUCGAAAAGGCAGAGGCUAAAGAACUUGCCACUAAACUGGGUUAAAUGUACACUGUUAAGUUAUUUGUACAUAAAAAUAAUUAAAAUAAUACAAAUUUUCCUUCAAA